rnacentral:rRNA from 1 species
CAGUCGCCACGGUAAUACGUAGGUGGCAAGCGUUGUCCGGAAUUAUUGGGCGUAAAGCGCGCGCAGGUGGUUUAAUAAGUCUGAUGUGAAAGCCCACGGCUCAACCGUGGAGGGUCAUUGGAAACUGUUAAACUUGAGUGCAGGAGAGAAAAGUGGAAUUCCUAGUGUAGCGGUGAAAUGCGUAGAGAUUAGGAGGAACACCAGUGGCGAAGGCGGCUUUUUGGCCUGUAACUGACACUGAGGCGCGAAAGCCAGGGGAGCGAACGGGAUUAGAUACCCCCGUAGUCCCUGUCUCUUAUAA